rnacentral:tRNA from 1 species
GCCCGGGUGGCGAAAUGGUAGACGCUUCUGACUUAAAAUCAGCUUUCCGAAAGGAAGUACCGGUUCGAGUCCGGUCCCGGGCACCA